AGAUUUAUUCUUUAUCGAUUUAUAACACUUUUAACAAAGAGUCUCCCCACCUGUGCUUUCUUCCUACUGAUUCUGUCUUUCUGCCACAUUCAGAUUUCUGAUAUCGAGAGCCGGAUCUCAGCCCUGACCAUCGCAGGACUCAACAUAGCGCCGUGUGUGCACCUCACCAGGAAGCGGGAGCAGAAGCAGAGGAACCAGGUGCAAACAAUAGACACAUCAAGACAGCAGAGGAGGAAACUGCCUGCCCCACCAGUGAGAGGUGA